GCAGGUCCCGGUCCCUGCCGCCCGCCGCCCCCGCGGCCUUGGCCCGCCUCCAGGGGAACCUCGAUUUUCCAAAUUCGGGAAGGCUGGCUGCUGAUAAGGACGGGAGCGCAUGGUGAACGAGCUUAACAAUGCCCGGAAAGAAAUAGCCGGGCCGAGAAAGAACUAAUAAUAGCCGCCGGCUCGAGCUCUGCCCGCCGGCUCCGCGCUCUGAGGAACAAUAAUGACGACAACAACCACAAUAGCCACCAUUUAUUGCGCGCGCGCUCUGUGCCAGGCACGGUGCUGAGCGCUUUGCAGGCGACAACCCUCGGAGGUAAGUACCGUUAUUACCCCUACUUCGCAGGACUCCGGGGCCGAGAGGUUAGGUCACUCGCCCCAGGCGCUCAGCUAGCUGACGUCCGUGCCAGAAUUCCAACCCAGGUAAUCCUCAUGGCAACCCAUUAAGGUCGGGAUCGUUCUUCCCAUCUUAAAGAUGAGGAAACUAAGGCACAUGGAAAUGUAAGUACCUUGCCCAAGGUCACCUAGCCGGAAAAUGGACGAGGCAGAAAGCGAACCCAGGGCUCCUCUCUGUCCGCAGAACCCGCGGUCUUGGCCACAGACGAUGCCACAUCCAAACCACCUCCGACAGCCCACCGGGCUCUGGCCCCAGGUCCCAAGAGGCGCUGCCCCUGCAGGGUGUGUCCCCAGUCCCUGCACGGCAGGUUCGGUCCCUCCUGAGGACACCGAUCUCAUCCCGUGAAAAGAACCAGGUGUCUGCAAAUCCGAGUCGCCGUGUCUCCCUUUUCCAGAGGGCCCUUCGGGGAUUUAAAAUGGGGAUCCACCAUCCAUUUGGAAUAGCGAACUUUCAUCCCUUCUCUAAAAUAAGAGAAGGGCGGAGGGGAUUGGCUGCGGAAGCAGCAGAUGAAAGGAUCUAUUUUCAUAAUAGCUACCGCCUAUUGCUGGCUUUUUUGCUUGGAGCCCUUUAUAUGUCUUGACUGACGGGUCUGCUCAGGGCUGCAGAGGCGUGGAUCAUUAUUCCCACUUCGUGGAUGGGGUCGGGAAGCUGGUAAGUGGCCAAGCUGGGGACCCACGCGGUUCCCAGCUCCCGGAACAUACAUACAUGCUGAGCCCACGGAUCAGAAGAGGUCCGAUACAGCCCCCGGGCUACUGAAGUGCUUCAAAGUCUGCACCGCAUUAAUUAGGGGCUUGACUGGCUUUCUAAGUUCACUCUGGGACUCAAAUAUAAAAAAAA